ensembl:lncRNA
UCUUGGUGUAUCACUAAAUUGUAAUCAAGAUAUUUUGCCUCAUAUGCAAAUGGUAAACAAUGGAUGAAUACACAUGCAAGAUUGCCAGAGUCACCCUUUAUACACAAUAAUGACUGCAAUAAUGCAAGGGCCGGUGGGGAAGUCAGCAAAACUGUUCAUGCUCGCUAUUUUCACUUUUAUUUUUAUAAUUUAUUCUAUAUAAAUAUGUAUGUUUCAACAUGUAGAGCUCAUAUCCUCUAAAACUCAAACAACUACUCUCUCAUGGUUGGAAAUCAUGGUUGCUGUGGGGAUUAUCACGCUUCCGGGCGGGAUUUGUUUUCAUUUUGCAUUAACACUUCCGGCGCAGUUCAACAAUGGCUGAAACAAAGGCUAGAUGUCACUGCUCUGUUCCACUUUGUACAUCUAACAAACAACGCCAACCCUACUUAAGUUUUCAUGGAUUCCCGACUGAAUUGACUCUAAGGAAGAAGUGGAUUCAAGCGGUUUGCCGGGAUGAAGGGCCAAACUUUAAAAUCAAACAAGGUAGCACGUUUGUUUGUAGCCGGCACUUUAGUGAAUCAGACUACACUAACGCUACAGCUAGCAGGCUAGCAACCAACCGGGGUCACAUCCAGCGACUCUAAAUCGGGUCUGUACCCUCCCGUUUCCAGUGGAACAACUGGGGACUGCCAAGAAGGGAGUCCGUUUAUAAAAGAGCAUCAACUCGCUUAGGCCAUGACGUUCACCCAGCCCUUCCUCUGGAGCAACCGCUGCCGUGUGAAUAAGAGCCGACGGAGGAGAUCGCAGCUUCGGUGGUGAUGACAGAACAUGAUUUCGGUUCUGCUCCUAAAGCAGGUAUACUGGAUGCUGCUGCUGCACGCAUACAGCAAUUGGAAGAAACAGUCAAGGGGCUGACGAGAGCUGUCACAGCUGAAAGCCUGCAAGAGAAGGUGCUGGCUGACAUGUUUCAGGUCAGUGUUUCCACUGUCUCCCGUGUUGUUAUAAUGUGGGCCAACUACCGUUACCUGCUCCUUGUCGAGAACACCAUGCCAAGCAAAUUUGUGCAGUACAGUCGAGAUGUUCGGGUAAUCAUCGACUGCACCGAGGUGCGAUGCCAGAAUCCAUCAUCCCUCACCCUCCAGUCUGAGGUUUUUCUCAUUUUACAAGAACACGACAACCUUAAAGGCCUUGAUUGGGAUUGCCCCUUGUAGUGCUGUGACUUUUGGUUCAAGUCUCUUCACCGGCUCCAUCUCUGACCGAGAGCUGACUGAACGAAGUGGACUGCUGGAUUUACUGGAGCCAGGAGAUGGCUGCAUGGCAGACAAGGGUUUCACCAUCGAGAAGCCACUAGCUGAUCGUGGGGCAACGCUGAUUAUACCACCCUUCAAGAUGACAGUUCAUCAAAGAGGAUUCUCUGAAAACACAAGCAAUCGACCCGACUUCGAAUCCUCGUGGAAAGAGCAAUACGCAGAGUCGAGGAAUACCGCAUCUGGGAACGCACUGUCCUCUCACCUUGUCUGGGACAGUCAACCAGCUGUGGACCGUCUGCUGUGUGAUGACCAACUUCCAGGGACCACUUGAUUUAAAAGGCUACAUCCCUGUGGAAUAGUGUUUCUAGUCAAACAUAUACCUAUAAAUAUAAUAUAUAAAUAUUAAAAUGAGAGACAAUGAACAUUUGGAGUGGUCCCUUCAUUUUUUCGGAGCUGUAAUUCUUUAUACUGAAAACAGUGUAUAUAUUGAAUGACAUGUAUAUAAUUGAAUGAGAAGUCUUUCAUCUAUAAUCAAUUUUAAAGUCAAGUCAGUCCAUCCUGAAAGUAUUCAAAAUAAUGUUAAUAUGUAAUGUAGUAAAUGAUGUACUCAGUUCCUUUAUUCAUUGUUUCAGUUCCUUUAUUAAUUCAGUUCAUUUCACAUUCAUUUCGAUUUCUGCUGAAGUUACACAUUCGUAUGUACCAAAGAAGUGCAAGUCUAACUUAUUUUUAAUCUCACAUUUCAUCAUCCCUCCAGACUGAGCUGACGCCCAACUGACGUUAGCAUAAGCCAACCUACCUAGCGUAAGCUAGCUAGCAGACACUCACCUUCGUAGUCGAUAAAUUACUCGAAAAAUAAACUAUCCCUUGUCCAGUUUGGAGCGGGCUGUUAUGGAGUGUUGUUCGGUAAGUCUGAACGUCAAAAAACGUGACUUUGGGUACAUUUACCAGGGAUGUCUUGAAAGUGAACUGCCGGUCCUCCAUCAUCGGUUCGCCAGAGUGAUGAGUGAUUCACCGGAUGUCACAGUGCACAAAGAUCACCGAAUGAGGACCGUGGUGAAGUUAGUAUGAUGUUGGAUAUUCGACAUAUUCGGCCAUUCAUUUCCUAUGGAAAAUUGCUUUUUGCUCAAUAGCUUCCCAGGUAUUGGACCCAGACACCCCAGACCAAUGUAGACCUGUCCUACUAUGUGGUACUAACAACACACACCUCAAUAAAAAUUAAUAUUUUGCACCU